AUUGAACGCAGGCGGUUUGCUUACAUCAUGCAAGUCGAGCGGCAUCGCAGGGGCAACCCUGGCGGCGAGCGGCGAACGGGUGAGUAAUACAGUCGAGAACGUACCCUGUCGUGGGGGAUAACUAACCGAAAGGUUACCUAAUACCGCAUACAACCUGAGGGUGAAAGCGGGGGAUCGCAAGACCUCCCUCGAUAUGAGCGGCCGAUGUCAGAUUAGCUAGUUGGUGAGGUAAAGGCUCACCAAGGCGACAAUCCGUAGCGGGUCUGAGAGGACGGCCCGCCACACUGGAACUGAGACACGGUCCAGACUCCUACGGGAGGCAGCACUGGGGAAUUUUGGACAAUGGGGGCAAGCCUGAUCCAGCCAUUCCGCUUGAGUGAAGAAGGCCUUCGGGUUGUAAAGCUCUUUCGGCAGGAACAAAACUGUUCUGGUUAAUACCCGGAGCUAAUGACGGUACCUGAAGAAGAAGCACCGGCUAACUACGUGCCAGCAGCCGCGGUAAUACGUAGGGUGCGAGCGUUAAUCGGAAUUACUGGGCGUAAAGCGUGCGCAGGCGGUUUUGUAAGACAGAUGUGAAAUCCCCGGGCUUAACCUGGGAACUGCGUUUGUGACUGCAAGACUUGAGUGUGGCAGAGGGGGGUGGAAUUCCACGUGUAGCAGUGAAAUGCGUAGAGAUGUGGAGGAACACCGAUGGCGAAGGCAGCCCCCUGGGUUGACACUGACGCUCAUGCACGAAAGCGUGGGUAGCAAACAGGAUUAGAUACCCUGGUAGUCCACGCCGUAAACGAUGCGAACUAGGUGUGGAGAAGGAGACUUCUUUAGUACCGCAGCUAACGCGUGAAGUUCGCCGCCUGGGGAGU
rnacentral:rRNA from 1 species